GCUCCUGUGGUGUAAUGGAAAGCAUUCAACGCUUCGAACGUUGCGACGAUGGGUUCGACUCCCUCCAGGAGUA
rnacentral:tRNA from 1 species